UACAGAGGUCUCAAGCGUUGUUCGGAUUCAUUGGGCGUAAAGGGUGCGUAGGCGGCGCGGUAAGUCGGGUGUGAAGUCUCGGGGCUUAACUCCGAAACUGCAUUCGAUACUACCGUGCUUGAGGACUGGAGAGGAGACUGGAAUUUACGGUGUAGCGGUGAAAUGCGUAGAUAUCGUAAGGAAGACCAGUGGCGAAGGCGGGUCUCUGGACAGUUCCUGACGCUGAGGCACGAAGGCCAGGGGAGCAAACGGG
rnacentral:rRNA from 1 species